rnacentral:rRNA from 1 species
UACGUAGGUGGCGAGCGUUGUCCGGAAUCACUGGGCGUAAAGGGCGCGUAGGCGGCGCGGGUAGUCAACGGUGAAAGCUUGGGGCUCAACCCCGAGUCGGCCGUCGAUACUCCCGUGCUUGAGCACUGUAGAGGCAGGUGGAAUUCCGGGUGUAGCGGUGGAAUGCGUAGAGAUCCGGAAGAACACCGGUGGCGAAGGCGGCCUGCUGGGCAGUAGCUGACGCUGAGGCGCGACAGCGUGGGGAGCAAACAGG